CGUAGGCAGCGAGCGUUGUUCGGAGUUACUGGGCGUAAAGGGUGUGUAGGCGGUUGUUUAAGUUUGGUGUGAAAUCUCCCGGCUCAACUGGGAGGGUGCGCCGAAUACUGAAUGACUUGGAGUGCGGGAGAGGAAAGUGGAAUUCCUGGUGUAGCGGUGAAAUGCGUAGAUAUCAGGAGGAACACCGGUGGUGUAGACGGCUUUCUGGACCGUAACUGACGCUGAGACACGAAAGCGUGGGUAGCAAACAGGAUUAGAUACCCUGGUAGUCCACGCCCUAAACGAUGCAUAUUUGGUGUGGGCAGUUCAUUCUGUCCGUGCCGGAGCUAACGCGUUAAAUAUGCCGCCUGGGGGGUACAGUCGCAAGGCUG
rnacentral:rRNA from 1 species